CACCAUCACUACAUCGAGACCGGCUUCGUGGGGCCGGCGUUGAGGGCAACAAGGUCCGCCUCUCGGCGAACGCGGAUAUUGCCGUGACGCUGGAAGAAGAACCAUCGGGUCGGCCCGUUAACUUGGGGUGAGCGUCGAGGUGAUCACACGCUGACGACCUUAACCCAUUGUCCAAGCGGCGCGGAGUGGGGACCAUUUGCAGCG
rnacentral:misc_RNA from 1 species